rnacentral:rRNA from 1 species
UUCCGUAGCAAUACGGAAUGGCGCACGGCGCACGGGUGCGUAACACGUGGGUAAUCUGCCCUCUGAUGGGGAAUAACUCGCCGAAAGGCGAGCUAAUUCCGCAUAAUAUUCCGAAAAUUUCGGUUUUUGGACUGAAAGGCGUAAGUCGUCGGAGGAGGAGCCCGCGCACGAUUAGCUAGUUGGUAGGGUAAUGGCCUACCAAGGCUGUGAUCGUUAGCUGGUCUGAGAGGAUGGCCAGCCACACUGGAACUGAGACACGGUCCAGACUCCUACGGGAGGCAGCAGUGGGGAAUCUUGCACAAUGGGCGAAAGCCUGAUGCAGCGACGCCGCGUGGGGGAUGAAGCUUUUCGGAGUGUAAACCCCUUUCGAUCCGGACGAAUGCCCGCAAGGGAUUGACGGUACGGAUAUAAGAAGCCCCGGCUAACUACGUGCCAGCAGCCGCGGUAAUACGUAGGGGGCCAGCGUUGUUCGGAAUUACUGGGUGUAAAGGGUUCGUAGGCGGUGCGGCAAGUUGGGAGUGAAAUCUCUGGGCUCAACCCAGAGACGGCUUCCAAAACUGCUGUGCUUGAGUGUGAGAGAGGCUCGUGGAAUUGCAGGUGUAGCGGUGAAAUGCGUAGAUAUCUGCAGGAACACCCGUGGCGAAAGCGGCGAGCUGGAUCACUACUGACGCUGAAGAACGAAAGCUAGGGGAGCAGACAGGAUUAGAUACCCUGGUAGUCCUAGCCCUAAACGAUCAGACUUGGGGGUGCCACCCGUUCGGGUGGCGUCCCGGAGCUAACGCGUUAAGUCCUGCACCU